GUGAAGAAUAUUGGUCAAUGGGCGAGAGCCUGAACCAGCCAAGUCGCGUGAAGGAAGAAGGAUCUAUGGUUCGUAAACUUCUUUUGCAGGGGAAUAAAGUGCGGGACGUGUCCUGUUUUGUAUGUACCCUGAGAAUAAGGAUCGGCUAACUCCGUGCCAGCAGCCGCGGUAAUACGGAGGAUCCGAGCGUUAUCCGGAUUUAUUGGGUUUAAAGGGUGCGUAGGUGGUUUGAUAAGUCAGCGGUGAAAGUUUGCAGCUUAACUGUAAAAAUGCCGUUGAAACUGUCGGACUUGAGUGUAAAUGAGGUAGGCGGAAUGCGUGGUGUAGCGGUGAAAUGCAUAGAUAUCACGCAGAACUCCGAUUGCGAAGGCAGCUUACUAAGCUACAACUGACACUGAAGCACGAAAGCGUGGGGAUCAAACAGGAUUAGAAACCCCUGUAGUCC
rnacentral:rRNA from 1 species